ensembl:lncRNA
AGAGAGAAAGAGAGAGAGAGAGAGAGAGAGAGAGAGAGAGAGAGAGAGAGAGAGGUCCUCUCUGUGUCCCCCAUGCACUUUUCCCACACUGUAGUUCAGCGUAAGGGUUGAAUGUAAACUUUCCAUAAGCAUGUUCAUAAUCUUGGUUGUCAGAAGUUUUUAGGGAAGGAUACUAAUUGUUUGAAAUGUUAUACCAUUGCAUUUGAACGUCUAUUGAUAUUUGAAGUCCCCCUAUACUUUAAACAUUUGCGAUAGUCACAAACUUCCAAUUGAAACAUGUGGUCUUAGGUUUAAUUAAAGUUUUUUAUUUUUGUAAGAAGAGGGCAAGGAUUUUUCAAAGAGUUGUCGAUGUAGGCUAAGAAGACAGUGGCUUCUUUGGUCCUGAUUUUCUUGUGACGAGGGCUCGUUCAGUUUACAUGGCCUUAUUCACCGGCCACCUUGUUUAUAGACGUCAGCUGGUUGGGGGAACUGAAUGCGGAACUUAUUGAGUCCACACCCAACUGGCGUUUGAUGGAACAAAGAUGGCCGCCAGGUGAAUGAGGCCACUGGCCUUAUUUUCUUUCUCUGGGAGGUAUUGCUUCACGAGCGUAGCACACAAUUUUAAAGUUUGGACAAAUUGUAUUUUGCUUGAUAACAAUUUACCACUGUUAUAUAUGUGUAUAUGCAUAGUUUUAUGAACGCAUUUCUGAAUCAUGAAACUAGAAAAUGGUGUAAUUGAGUCUUCUGUUUGUUGCAGUCUCACUGAAGACUUGCCUGCGUAUGUUCAGUUGAACCCUACUUUUACUGUCUCACAACCUCUCAUGCUCAGCCAAAAGAACAACUCUUUCCUUAUUUAUGGAAGCACGCAAAUACUGUUUGUUCUAAUCAGGCAAAAUCGAUUUGGUGCCCUUCAAUUUUCCACAAUGGCCCUCAAAGAGAGUAAUAACGUUCCCCUUUUGCGAUGACUAAAUAAUUUAUUGAUCAACCUGAUGGAAUUAUACAUGUUUCCAUAUGUUGAAAACCGAAAAUGUUUGCCGCAUGGAUAUUGAUGACUUUCUGUAUGUAAUCCUCUUGAUGGUAUGAUAACUACUAUAAUGAAUAAGAUUUAUGACAUGAUGAUGAUGAUGAUGAUGAUGAUGAUGAUGUAAUCAAAAGUGUACUCAAUACAAUGUCUUAGGAAUUAUUUGAGAGGUAAGAUACUAUAUAAUGUUACUGUAUGCAACUGAAGUAGCUUGAUUUGAGCCUUUCUCUAUUUUCCUAUGAAUGAGAGCUUUUCAAAGCAUCAAUGGCAUUCUUUAAUUUUGCCAAUACACUUGGAUCCAAAUCUUACUCUCAGCCUCAAGAGGUGAGCUUGUGGCUUCUACAGGGACUACAGGGUUGCCCUAGUAACAGACGAUAAUUUAAUGAAAUUGUGUGGAGAUCAAAGAUUUUGAGGUUGUACUAUGCGACAUUUAAGUCAGGGGCAAAAUGCCCCUAUAGCUACAAUUAGCAUAUUAUUAUGAUGGUUCUGAUUAUAAUUUGUUUAACCUUCCAAGGUGACAUGCCAGGCCACGCUAGGCCACCCGUGUUGCCCGCCUAUGUAGCAUUGCUUAUCUUAAAGAACACAAAAUGUGUAUGUGUUCAUUUGUUUGUUUCAUUAUUUACUUAAUUCCCAAUUGGCAAGUUGGGACAACAUGCUUGUCUUUGGAUCUGUUCAUAAUUGUCCUUUUCUCAAACAGCACAAGCGCCCAGGGUUGCCAUUUUGGGUCUCAAAGCUCUAUGGCAGUAGACCAGGAGAUCACAGUAGCUCCACUUUCCCCACGGCGACUGCCAAACACUGCGAGGCACAACCUCGUACCCCCGCACACAAACACUCACCAACUGAUUUACAAUAUACACCCACACAUACAUAGCCAUAGACUAGUUGUGGCUGAAGAGACAGCCCGGCCCCUUUUUCUUAAGUAAAGCACGAAUUAGAUAUUUUGCUCCUUCACGACAACAUUCCUGAACAUACAACGUAGAAUACGUACCGACGCUCAUUAACACUUCUCCUCGAGUGUAGGUCUGUUGAUUUUUUUAUUUAUGCUAUUCCAGUUUGACCAGGUGAGCGGGGUGGGGAUGACACAACAGGCAUGACACCCUAGCUAAAGCAUGUUGAAAUGAGCAAGACACAGCACAGACACAGGGUUGGAUGGUGGAUGGACGGUUGUCUGUUCCUUGCUGGCCUUAGCUUUUCCUCCAGGGAGUGUCCGAGGAGUCGGUGCAAAAAAUACAACAAGCUAGUUAGCAUGAGGAUGAGAGGCGAGGGCGGAACGAAGAGAGCUGUAAUUUUAUACAUGUGCUUUGUAAAUGUUUUCUAUGUGCAGUAUUUGAUAAUGUAAAACUGGUAUUUUUGUGGUUUGUACGCUGCCGAAUUGAUAACUUAAGGUGCACGUAGUUUUGUAAGAAAAUAGAAACCAACGUUGAAGGAGGAAAAAAUAGAAACUUUCAGAUUCAGAAGCCUGUAUUUGCAUGCCCAUUGACAUCUGGACGCAAAGUCAAUAAAAAUUAUUUGAAUCACUAA